UGUGGCACUUGGUGCCACUGCCCUACUACUAAGUUGUAUGGCUGCCUAAGGAAAAGUAAUCUCUGACGGAAGAGCACUGGAAUCAUCAGCUUCAAGAAGACACCCAGUGAGUGCACCUGACUCUGCCACUUCUGGUUUCCCAUCUAUAAGUCACAUGGUUGAUGUCACUCUGUGAGUAGUGUACCGCACAGGAUGGAGCACUUGAAGCAAGAUUGAUCGACUUGAAAGAACAAGAAGACUAUUGCCCGAUUUUGACUACUUUUUUUUGCAUUUAUCUCAGUACCUCCACACCAUUCAGUGCUUGUAAUUUUUAAUUUAUUUUGUUUGAGACCAGAAGACAAGCCCCACAACGAGCAUUGACAUCACUUCCUGGGCUUUAACCUGGAGGUCCUACCUCUUCUACAGCGCAGACAAUCUAAAGAAUAAAGACGUCAGAACUUGCUGUUCAUUACCAACCCCAACACCAAUGAAGAUGGAGUUCUGGAAGAGAUCAAGCUUGACAUACAGAAAGUAUACUGUGAGGUACAUUCCAUCCACUGUGGCAACCCCUAACGGAGGCAGCUGAAAGAAGAAGAAAAAGAAGGUACUAUAA